rnacentral:rRNA from 1 species
UACGAAGGGGGCGAGCGUUGUUCGGAAUUACUGGGCGUAAAGGGCGCGCAGGCGGCCUUAGAAGUCAGGCGUGAAAGCCCCGGGCUCAACCUGGGAGGUGCGCUUGAUACUCUGAGGCUGGAGUACGGGAGAGGAGAGUGGAAUUCCCAGUGUAGAGGUGAAAUUCGUAGAUAUUGGGAAGAACACCGGUGGCGAAGGCGGCUCUCUGGACCGUAACUGACGCUGAGGCGCGAAAGCGUGGGGAGCAAACAGG